CCUACGUGAGGCAGCAGUGAGGAAUAUUGGUCAAUGGACGAGAGUCUGAACCAGCCAAGUAGCGUGAAGGAUGACUGCCCUAUGGGUUGUAAACUUCUUUUAUAUGGGAAUAAAAUGUUCCACGUGUGGGAUUUUGUAUGUACCAUAUGAAUAAGGAUCGGCUAACUCCGUGCCAGCAGCCGCGGUAAUACGGAGGAUCCGAGCGUUAUCCGGAUUUAUUGGGUUUAACGGGAGCGUAGGUGGAUUGUUAAGUCAGUUGUGAAAGUUUGCGGCGCAACCGUAAAAUUGCAGUUGAAACUGGCAGUCUUGAGUACAGUAGAGGUGGGCGGAAUCCGUGGUGUAGCGGUGAAAGGCUGAGAUAGCACGAAGAAUUCCGAUUGCGAAGGCAGCUCACUGGACUGCAACUGACACUGAGGCUCGAAAGUGUGGGUAUCAAACAGGAUUAGAUACCCCUGUAGGC
rnacentral:rRNA from 1 species